UACGGAGGGUGCAAGCGUUAUCCGGAUUCACUGGGUUUAAAGGGUGCGUAGGCGGGCAGGUAAGUCAGUGGUGAAAUCUCCAAGCUUAACUUGGAAACUGCCGUUGAUACUAUCUGUCUUGAAUACUGUGGAGGUGAGCGGAAUAUGUCAUGUAGCGGUGAAAUGCUUAGAUAUGACAUAGAACACCAAUUACGAAGGCAGCUCACUACACAGCCAUUGACGCUGAGGCACGAAAGCGUGGGGAUCAAACAGG
rnacentral:rRNA from 1 species